AAGAGGUUCGGUUGGGGCUGCUAACCACGACGUGGGAUUUUUCCGCCUCUUU
rnacentral:tRNA from 1 species